rnacentral:rRNA from 1 species
AACGAACGCUGGCGGCAUGCCUAACACAUGCAAGUCGAACGAAGCCUUCGGGCUUAGUGGCGCACGGGUGCGUAACGCGUGGGAAUCUGCCCUUUGGUUCGGAAUAACAGUUGGAAACGACUGCUAAUACCGGAUGAUGACGAAAGUCCAAAGAUUUAUCGCCAGAGGAUGAGCCCGCGUAGGAUUAGCUAGUUGGUGGGGUAAAGGCGCACGAAGGCGACGAUCCUUAGCUGGUCUGAGAGGAUGAUCCGCCACACUGGGACUGAGACACGGCCCAGACUCCUGCGGGAGGCAGCAGUGGGGAAUAUUGGACAAUGGGCGAAAGCCUGAUCCAGCAAUGCCGCGUGAGUGAUGAAGGCCCUAGGGUUGUAAAGCUCUUUUACCCGGGAUGAUAAUGACAGUACCGGGAGAAUAAGCCCCGGCUAGCUCCGUGCCAGCCGCCGCCGUAA